rnacentral:lncRNA from 1 species
CUGCCGGACAUGCCUGAACCAACUCUCGAGCACGCCGGAACCACAUGCUCGAGUCGCCGCAACCACAUGCCGGACAUGGCAAAAUCACCUGCUGGCUAUGCCACAACGACUUGUUGGACAUUCCGGAAUCACCUGACGGUCAUGCUGGAACCACCUCUCAGAGGUACCACAAACACAUGCCAGAGACGGCGGAAGCACGUGCCGAGAAUGCCAGAAGUUCCAGCUCCACUCCACAGAACCGCCUGCCGGACACGCCAAAAUCUCGUGCCGGCUACGCCAGAACCACUUGGCGGACACUCCAGAAUCACCUGCCGGCAUGCCAGCACAACCUCUCAGAAGUGCCAGAAGCACGUGCCGGACAGGCCGUAACCAUCUCCCGGAGAGACCGGAACAACAGGAAACACUCGCCGGAACCACCUGCUUGACUCACCGGUCCCACCUGCCGGACAUGCCAAAAUCACCUGCCCGAUACACCAGAACCACUUGGUGGACAAGCUUGAAUCACGUGAAGGGCAUGCUGACACAACCUCUCAGACGUGCCACAACCUCGUGCCGGACACCCCAGAACCACCUGCCGGAAAGACGGGAACCACCUGCCGGACACCCCGGAACCACCGGCUCAAGUCGCCGGAACCACCGCGGGACAUGCAAAAUCACCUGCCGGCUACGCCAGAACCAUUUGCCGAACACUCCGGAAUCACCUGCCGGGCAUGACGGAACCACCUCUCAGACAUGCCAGAACCACAUGCCAAUGACACCGGAAGCACCUGCCGAGCACGCCAGAACCACCUGCUCGACAUGCCACAGCCACCUGCCGGACACGCCAAAAUCACCUGCCGGCUACACCUGAACCACUUGGCGGACACUUCAGAAUCACCUGCCGGGCAUGCCAGCACAACCUCUCAGAAGUGCCAGAAGCACAUGCCGGACAGGCCGGAACCAUCUCCCAGACAGACCGGAACCACGGGAAACACUCGCCGGAACCACCUGCUUGACUCACCGGUCCCACCUGCCGGACACGCCAAAAUCACCUGCCCGCUACACCAGAACCACUUGGCGGACAAGCCGGAAUCACGUGAAGGACAUGCACACACAACCUCUCAGACGUGCCAGAACCUCGUGCCGGACACCCCAGAACCACCUGCCGGACACACUGGAACCACCUGCUGGACACACCGGAACCACCGGCUCGACUCGCUGGAACCACCUACCUGACACGCCAAAAUCACCUGCCGGGUAUGCCAGAACCACUUGGUGGACACUCUGGAAUCAUCUGCCGGACAUCCCAGAACCAGCUCUCAGACAGACCAGAAUCACGUGCCGGACAUGCCGGAAGCACCUGCUGCGCAUGCCUGAGCCACCUGCUCGCCUCGCAAGAAACGCCUGCUGGACACGCCAAAAUCACCUGCCAGGUACGCCUCAACCACUCAGCGGACACUCCGGAAUCACCUGUCGGGCAUGCCGGAACCACCUCUCAGAGGUGCCAGAACCACAUCCCGGACACUCCGGAAUCACCUGUCGGGCAUGCCGGAACCACCUCUCAGACUUGCCAGAACCAUGUUCCGGACACGCCGGGACCACCUGCCGAGUAUGCCAGAACCACCUGCUCCACUCCACAGAACCGCCUGCGGGACAUGCCAAAAUCACCUGUCGGCUAUGCCAGAACCACACGGCAGACACUCCGGAAACACCUCCACGACAGACCAGAACCACCUGCCGGAUACGCCGGAACCACCGGCUCGAUUCGCAGGAACCCCCGCAGGACAAGCAAAAUCAGCUGCCGGCUAUGCCAGAACCACUCUGUGAACAAUCCCGAAUCACCUUCCGGGCAUGCCGGAACCACCUCUCAGACAUGCCAGAACCACAUGCCAAUGACACUGGAAGAACCUGCCGAGCACGCCAGAACCACCUGCCCGACUCGCCAGAACCACCUGACAGACACGCCAAAAUCACCUGCCGGCUACGCCACAACCAGUUGGUGAACACUUCGGAAUCACCUGCCGGGCUGGCUGGAACCACCUGCUGGUCACGCCCACAUCACCUGUCAGCUACGCCAGAACCACUUGGCGUACACUCCGGAAACACCUGUCGGGCCGGCCGGAACCACCUCUCAGAUGUGCCAGAACCAUGUGCCUGAGAUGCCGGAAGCACACCCCAACAGACCGAAACCACCUGCCAGAGCCGCCUGAACCACCUGCCGAGCACGCCGGAUCCACCUGCUCGACUCGUCGGAACCACCUACCUGACACGCCACAAACAACUGCUGGCUAUGCCAGUACCACUUGGCGAACCCUCCGGAAUCACCUGCCGGGCAUGCCGGAACCGCCUCUCAGACAUGCCAGAACCACAUGCCAAUGACACCGGAAGGACCUGCCGAGCACGCCGGAACCACCUCUCAGACAUGCCAGAACCACAUGCCAAUGACACUGUAAGCACCUGCCGAGCACACCGGAACCACCUGCUUGACUCGUCAGAACCACCUGCCGGGCACGCCAAAAUCACCUGCCGGGUAUGCCAGAACCACUUGGCGGACACUCCGGAAUCACCUGUCGGCAUGCCGGAACCACCUCUCAGACUUGCCGGAACCUUGUUCUGGACAUGCUGGUAACACAUGCCCGGUAUGCCGGAACCACCUGAUCCACUCCCCAGGAACACCUGCUGGACACGCCAAAAUCACCUGCCGGCUACGCCACAACCACUCGGCAGACAAUCUGCAACCACCUCCAGGACAGACCGGAACCACCUGCUGGACACGCCGGGACCACCUGCUGAGCAUGCCGGAACAACCUGCUUGACUCGCUGGAGCCACCUGCCGGACAUGCCAAAUCAGCUGCCGGCUAUGCCAGAACCACUUGCCGGACACUCCAAAAUCACCUGCCUGGCGUGCCGGAACCACCUGAUCCACUCCCCAGAACCACCUGCUGGACCCGCCUGAACCACCUGCCGGCUACACGGGAACCACUUGGCGGACACUCCGGAAUCACCUGCCGUGCAUGCCGGAACCACCCCUCAGACGUGCCUGAAAAACGUGCCGGACACGCCGGAACCACCUCCCGGACUAACCGGAACCACCUUUCGGACAUGCCUGAACCACCUUACGAGCACGCUGGAACCACCUGCUCGACUUGGUGGAACCAUCUGCUGGAGACACCAAAAUCACCUGCCGGCUACGCCAGAACCACUUGCCGACACUCCGGAAUAACCUGCCAUUCAUCCCGGAACCGCCCCUCAGAUGUGCCAGAACCAGGUGCUGGACGCCCCAGGCCUCUUCCGUGAAAGACUGGAACCACCUGCUGAGCAUUCUGGAAACACCUGCUCGACUCCCGGGAACCGCCUCUGGGGAAACUGUCAUAGAAAUGCAGGUAAAACGGCCUUUCUUGCCAGCCCUUAACUCGCCACUUUAGAACUUCUGCUUCUGCCACAAUUGCACCUUGCCAACCCAGCUCAGACGAAAUGCCUACAUCUUCCCCUGAAGCAACUGGCCUGAGUCCCAAAUGAUUGAGCGUCCACGUGCUUAGGAGGCGAUAGACUGCACGCCUUUUUCCAACCACCAUUGUGCACUGCUGGAGAGAGUGUCAGAAAGCAGCUAUGUCAGAAAGACCCCUUUGGUCUCAGCCGUGCCCUCCAUUGCUCUAGACGUGGAAUGCACAAUGCACUGGCUCCCCCCCUCAAGGGGCGACAAGCCACAGACCACCUUGCUUCCAUCUCUUUAGGAAGCUGAGAAGGAACUCACUUUCAACAGUGAUCUUACAGAGUCCAGGGAACAUCUCAUACAAAGGCAGCUGAAACGCCAUUUCUUUUCAGCCCUUAACUUGCCGAUUUGGAACUUCUGUUUCUGCCACAUUUCCACCUUGCCAUCCGGGCUCCGACGAAAUGCCUACAUCUUACCCUUCAGCAACGGGGACGAGGCCCAUAUGACUGUGCUUCCACAUGCUUAAGAGGAGAGAGACAGGCUUUUUACAAUCACGGUUGUGCACUGGUGGAGAGAGUGUCAGAAAGCACCUAUGUCAGAAAGGUCCAUUUGAUCUCAGCCAUGCCCUGAAUUGCUCUAGAGGAGGAAGGCACAAUGCACUGCCUCUGGCUCCACCCCUCAAUGGCAGACGAACCACACACCUUCUUGCGUCCAGCUCUUUAGGACGCUGAGAAAGAGCUCGCAUUCCAUAGUGCUCUUAGAGCGUCCAGGGAACAUCUCAUACAAAGGCAGCUGAACGCCGUUUCUUGCAGCACUUCACUCGCCGAUCUGGAACAUCUGCAUGUGCCACAUUUCCACCUUGUCAACCCGGCUCAGACGAAAUGCCUACAACUUCCCCUUAAGCAAUGGGGACGAGGCCCGAAUGAUUGUUUUUGCACCUGCUUAGUAGGAGAGAGACAAUAGGCUUUUAACCAACCGCCCUUGAGCAAUGGUUGGGGGAGUGCCAGAAAGCACCAAUGUCAGAAAGGUCCCUUUGCUCUCAGCCGUGCCCUCCAUUGCUCUAGAGGUGGAAGGCACAAAGCACUGCCUCCAUCCUUCAAUGGGAGACAAGCCAUAAACUGUCUUGCCCCCAGCUCUUUAGGAAGCUGACAAACAACUCGCUUUCCAAAGUCCUGUUACAGCAGACUGGGAACUUCUCAUACAAAGGCAGCUCAAAUGGCAUUUCUUCCCAGCCCUUAACUCGCAGCUUUAGAACCUCUGCUUCUGCCGCAAUUCCACCUUGCCAACCCAGCUCAGACAAAAUGCCUACAUCUUCCCCUUAAGCAACUGGGCUGAGUCCCAAAUGAUUGUGCAACCAUGUGUUUAGCAGGAGAGAGACAAUAUGCUUUUCACCAACCACAGUUGACCACUGGUGGAGAGAGUGUCAGAAAACACCUAUGUCAGAAAGGCCCCUUUCCUCUCAGUUUUGCCCUCCAUUGCUCUAGACGUGGAAUGCACAAUGCAUUGGCUCCAACCCUCUAGGGGCGACAAGCCACAGACCAUCUUUCUUCCGUCUGUUUAGGAAGUUGAGAACCAACUCACCUGACGCAUAAAAAGGAAUCAUGCCCCUUAGAUGCCAUAAAACACCGGGAGACAUGCCAAAAACACCCUCCGCACACUCUCAAAGAACCACACAUUCAUGGCAGAACGACCCAACUGGUACACCAGAAGCACCCACGUUGCAUGCCAGAACCACCUGUAACCACCUGCUGAACACAGUGGAACAAUAAUUCUGACACUGCAGAACCAUCUCUUCAACAUGCCAGCUGCACACAACAGACACAACGGAACCAGAUUCCAAACGCAGCACAACGACAUGCCAGGCACAUUGGAAACACCUGAUGGAUAUGCCGCAAACAGGUGCCAGAAACAGUGAAACCACCUGCGGAGUAUGUCAGAACCGGAGGCCAGAAAUGCCACCAACACCUGUCUUACAAGCCAGAGCCACGAGCCCAAAAAGCAGGAAAGACCUGCUGGACAUGCCAAAAUAACCUGCUGGUGAUGCCAGAACCACUUGGAGGACACCCAGGAAUCACCUGCCAGGCAUGCCCGACGCGCCUCGCAGACGUGCCAGAACCACGUUCCGGACAUGCCAGAAACACCUCCGGGACAGACCGGAACCACCUGCCAGACUAGCCGGAACCACCUCUCAGACGUACCAGAACCACUUGCCGGACAAGCUGGAAACAUGUACUGCACAGACUGGAACCACCUGCUGAGCACGCUGGAACCAGCUGCCGGACACGCCAAAAUCACCUGCCGGCUACACCAGAACCACUUUGAGACUCUCCGGGAUGACCUGCCGGGCAUGCUGGAACCACCUCUCAGACGUGCCAGAACCACGUGGCGGACUGUCCAGAAUCGCCUGUUGGGCAUGCGCAACCACCUCUGAGACGUACCAGAACCACGUGCCGUACACGCCGGAACCACCUACCGGACACACCGGAAUCAGCUUUCGGGCAUGCCGGAAGCACCUGCUCAACUCGCCUGAAAAACCUGCCGGACACGCCAAAAUCCCCUGCCGGCUACGCCAAAACCACGUGGUGGACUCUCUGAAUCACCUGCCGGGCAUGAUAGAACCACCUCUCAGACGUGCCGGAACCAAUGCCGGACACGCCGGAACCACCUCCCGGACAGACCGGAACCCUCUGCCGGACCUGCCUGAACCAAUUGUCGAGCACGCCGGAACCACAUGCUCGACUCUCUGGAACCACAUGCCGGACAUGGCAAAAUCACCUGCCGGCUACGCCAGAAACCACUUGGCGAACACUCCGGAAUCACCUGCCGGGCAUGCCGGAACCACCUCUCAGACAUGCCAGAACCACGUGCCAAUGACCCCGGAAGCACCUGCCGAGCACGCCGGAACCACCUGCUCGACUCGCCAGAACCACCUGCCGGACACGCCAAAAUCACCUGCCGGCUACGCCACAACCACUCGGCAGACACUCCGGUAUCAGCUGCCGGGCAUGCCGGAACCACCUCUCAGAGGUGCCAGAACCACAUGCCGGACACUCCGGAAUCACCUGCCGGGCAUGCCGGAACCAUCUCUCAGACGUGCCAGAACCAUGUUCCGGACACGCCGGUACGACCUGCCGAGCACGCCGGAACCACCUGCUGGACACACCAAAAUCACCUGCCGGCUAUGCCAGAACCACUCGGCAGACACUCCGGAAUCACCUGCCGGGCUUGCUGGACCCACCUGCCGGUCACGCCAACAUCACCUGCCACCUACGCCAGAACCACUUUGCGGACGCUCCGGAAACACCUGUCGCGCUUGCUGGAACCACCUACCGGUGACGCCAACAUCACCAGCCAGCUACACCAGAACCACUUUGCGGACGCUCCGGGAUCACCUGCCGAGCAUGCCGGAACCACCACUCAGACGUGCCAGAACCAUGUGCCGGACACGCCGCAACCACCUGCCGAGUAUGCCGGAACCACCUGCUCCACUCCCCAGAACCACCUGCUGGACACGCCAAAAUCACCUGCC